AAUACAUCUUUUGAUAAAUGGGAAGAAGGAGAUCUUCAAAAAAGGGUUUCAGGUGUUGGAGAUGGCUUUGGAAAUGGCUGUGCGGAUGGAGAUGCAGAGAGAGGAAGUAUUUUUUGUCGCCCCAUCACAGAAUGACUCAGCAAAAUCAAACAGCUGUGGCACUAGAAGAUUUCUCUCAUCCUUACUUCAUAUUGCAGAAAGAAACUGGAAGAUAUUACCGUCCAAGUAUGGAAAAGACGUACGACACACAAGAUACCCUAAUAUGCAAGGAUCAGAUGGAGGAAGAGGAAUCGCUGUCCGGUAUUCCUCCUGAGCAUCAACUGCAUCAACCCUUUGAGGAUGAGGAUUCCAGGGGCCUGACGAACCAUCGGCUCACCCCGUAGACCAUGGAGUCCAUGUUGGCUGAUGUUGGAAUCACCUGUGAGGCUUUGAAAGCACGGAUGCUUGGGUCCUACCUCCAGACUUCUGAUUCAACUGGUGUGGGCUGUGACCUGCGUAUUGGGUGGAUUUUAAAGCUUCCCAGGUGUGGCCAAGGUUGGAAUUACCUUAGAAUAUAAAUGCACGCAUUUCACGCGCCGGUCAAUUACUGCUUCAAUCUUUGAUUCCAACAUCAUAUGAUACCAAUUGGAGCAAUUUAAGCCAGAGAAGCUGGCUGAGUCCACGUUGAACACCGGCAUAAAAUAAAGAGAGAGAGAUAUCAAGACACAUUUGGCUCUAGGGAGAACAUUAGCUCUACUAUUCAUAAAUCUGGAU
rnacentral:lncRNA from 1 species